rnacentral:rRNA from 1 species
UACGUAGGUGGCGAGCGUUAUCCGGAAUGAUUGGGCGUAAAGGGUGCGUAGGCGGCCUGCUAAGUCUGGAGUGAAAGCCCGGGGCCCAACCCCGGGACUGCUUUGGAAACUGUGUAACUGGAGUACAGGAGGGGCAGGCGGAAUUCCUGGUGUAGCGGUGAAAUGCGUAGAUAUCAGGAGGAACACCGGCGGCGAAGGCGGCCUGCUGGACUGAAACUGACGUUGAGGCUCGAAAGCGUGGGGAGCAAACAGG